rnacentral:rRNA from 1 species
AGCAGCCGCGGUAAUUCCAGCUCCAAUAGCGUAUAUUAAAGUUGUUGCAGUUAAAAAGCUCGUAGUUGAAUUUCGGAAUCAAUAUAUCGGUCGUGCCUCUGGUACGCACUUAUUUAUUGAUUUCUCACUUCUGACGAAUCAUAAUGUCAUCAGUUUGGUGUUAUGAGGAAUCAGGACUGUUACUUUGAAAAAUUAGAGUGUUUAAAGCAGGCUCGCGCUUGAAUACAUUAGCAUGGAAUAAUGAAAUAGGAUGUUUGAUCUUAUUUUGUUGGUUUCUAGGAUCGACAUAAUGAUUAAUAGGGAUAGUUGGGGGCAUUAGUAUUCAAUUGUCAGAGGUGAAAUUCUUGGAUUUAUUGAAGACUAACUACUGCGAAAGCAAUUUGCCAAGGAUGUUUUCAUUAAUCAAGAACGAAAGUUAGGGGAUCGAAGACGAUCAGAUACCGUCGUAGU